AAACUGGGAUUAGAUACCCCACUAUGCUUAGCCGUAAACUUUUUACUUACCCCUCUAAUCGCCUGGGAACUACGAGCCCACGCUUAAAACCCAAAGGACUUGACGGUGCCCCACAUCCACCUAGAGGAGCCUGUCCUAUAAUCGAUGAUCCCCGUUUAACCUCACCACUUCUAGCCAAUCCGCCUGUAUACCUCCGUCGUCAGCUCACCGCAUGAGCGCCUUAUAGUGAGCACAACAACCCCAACGUUAACACGUCAGGUCAAGGUGCAGCAAAUGAAGUGGGCAGAGAUGGGCUACAUUUUCUAGUUUAGAAAACACGAAAGACUACGUGAAACCCUGUCAGAAGGCGGAUUUAGUAGUAAAAAGAAACAAGAAAGUUCUUUUUAACAAGGCACAGGGGCAUGUACACACCGCCCGUCACCC
rnacentral:rRNA from 1 species